AUUGAACGCUGGCGGCAGGCCUACCACAUGCAAGUCGAACGAGUGGCGGACGGGUGAGUAAUGUCUGGGAAACUGCCCGAUGGAGGGGGAUAACUACUGGAAACGGUAGCUAAUACCGCAUACCAUCGGAUGUGCCCAGAUGGGAUUAGCUUGUAGGUGAGGUAACGGCUCACCUAGGCGCCGAUCCCUAGCUGGUCUGAGAGGAUGACCAGCGACACUUGAACUGAGACACGUUGCAGACGACUACGGGAGGCAGCAGGGGGGAAGAUGGCACAAGGGGAGCAAGCCUGAUGCAGCCAUGCCGCGUGUAUGAAGAAGGCCUUCGGGUUGUAAAGUAAGUUCAGCUGGGAGGCGUUACCCGCAGAAGAAGCACAUGCUAACUCCGUGCCAGCAGACGCGGUAAUUC
rnacentral:rRNA from 1 species